GCCGGGAGCUCCGCGGCGCCCCGGAACCUGAACCAAGAGCUGAAUCGGAAGUGGCCCGGGCGGGCGCUAACCCUGCGCGCCUUGGCCGAGUCACGCGACGCGAGGCCCUGGGUUGCGCGCGCCGCUCCGGGGCGGGCUCUGCCUCACGAGGCGCGGGGCGCGGAGUGGAAAGAGCGUAGCGUGGGCUGCGCGGAGCUGAGGCCGAGACCCAGAGGCUGCCAAAUUGUCAUCAGAGCCGGGCCGGGUUUCGGCGGCUGCGCUUUAUAGUCGCUGGAGCCUGGUGACCUAUUCCAGGGCUCCAAGACUGCCUCGGCAACAGCCCAAGGAUGUUCGGUUAUCUGGCCUUGAGGGUUCGCGCGUCACGUGCCCCUUCCCCGCCCCCCGCUUGUUUUUCAGUUGAAAAGUGGGGCCGGUGUCUGCAGGACUCUGUGAGCACACAGGAAUUUAGUGAUGAUUUAUCUCCAUGACAGAAAACCCCAGGAAUUUAAAGUCCGAGGAUUAACAAAACCGACUUCGAAGUGUGAAAGCAGCUGGACUAGACAUCAGAACCCCCGAUCCUUACUGGGGGUUCCGCUGUUAAAUAGCCUAGGGCAGGGAUUUGAUUUCAGUUGCCCCAUGCAUAAAAUAUGGGUAAUACCCGCACUACUUGCCCCACAGAAUUAUUUUUUUCUUUUUUAAAGCAUAAAUGUAUAUCAAGUAAGGACGUUUUGCCCGUUUUAAUUAUAGAAGCACAUACGUGGUUUUUGGUCUAAGUUGUGUCUAGGAGUGAAUUUGGAAGUCUUGGAGGCAGUUCCAUGACUUGAGAUAGCUCAAAUUAAUGAGUUAGUUUAAAAACUCAGAAAGCAUUGAGUUUGUACUGCAGGUCAAAACUACAGUUUGGGAAAAUCCUGAUCUGGUACUAAUUUAGUAAUUCUAAUUAACAUAUUUUUCAUCCUUGUCCCAAACUCAAUCUUUUCUGAAAUUACUUUUUAUGAUUUUGAAAAGUCAUGAAUAGAAAUGAGAAAAAAUGCUUAGCUUUUUUUUUUUUAACAAAGCUUAUACAUAAGAAAGUUAAGUGGUUGUGUAUAAUCAACGACAUUAAAUUGCUUUCCUCCUUUGAAAAAGAGGAAAGUCGUUUUUUUCUUGCCAGUCAUUUAUCUGUAUGAGAAACUAUGCCUUUACUCUGCAGUCAAACUUUAAUUUCUGAUUGAGUUGUAGUUAUAGAAGGAUGUACUUUGUAUGUUUAACCUGAUGGUGGAAUGUUUUGUAAAACUGAUGAGUCAUAUGUUUUGAAAGAGGCCUUUUAAGAACAGACUUUAGUUUGGGUCAAGCCAGCAUUCUAACAGUAGUCCUAAUAUCUGAAAAUUACAAAUAUUUAAAAUAAUAGGUUUUUUUUGCUUUAAAAUAUUUAUCUGAGAUUUUAAAAAGUGAUAGGAAUGUAAUGUAAAAUGGGAAAAAGAAAGGAUUCAAACAUAAUUCAGAAAUAAGAGUUGGCCAGGUGCCAUGGCUCAUGCCUGUAAUCUCCCGCGCUUUGGCCCAGAUCAGCAGAUCGCUGAGGUCGGAGUUCCAGACCAGCCUGGCCAACAUGGGGAAACCCCGUCUCUACAAAAAAUACAAAAAUUAGCCGGGCCUAGUGGCGCUCCCCUGUGUUCCCAACUACUCAACAGGCUACUGGGAGGAUUGUUGCAGCCUAAGCGGUAGACGUUUCAGAGAGCCAUGAUUGUGCCACUGCCCUGAACCUUUUUUUUUUUUUUUUUUUUUUUUGGUCUCAAGAAAAAUAAAAUAAGAGGUAAGAUUACAAAUCAGUGGAAUUAAAGGGAAAAGAUAACCUCAAUAAUAGCAAAUGAGGCUUCCUAGUAGAAAGUUUGGAAAAAAAUACUUAGGAUGGGAACUCCACAUUGUAUAGAAUAAAGGAAAGGAAGUAGAAAAACAGUGGUGUAGGUAAAGAAAUGAGUAACCUGACAAAUUUUGAAAACCUGCUUGCAAUGCUGUACUGGGAGCUAUUUUAAUUUAAUAAAGUCUCCAAAUACUUCGUUGUUGAAUUUAGGAUAAAUGUAACCAGACCAUCGAGCAGCUGAGAUAACUGAGAAACUGCUUUCUAAAAGUUGAAAAUUGUGUUUCUGCCUCUUUGAAGCUAUUGGCAAGGAAACUGUAAAUUUCGGUGUAAAAUACAUAUCUCAUGUCCAAUUAGAGUAGGUUCUUACUUACAUAGAAUGACUAUCUUUAUUCAUCUUUGGAUUCUCCCUCACACCACCACCAUCCCCCAUUGCCUAGCAUGAUUUCUUGCAAAUAAUUUGGAUUGAGUUGGAUAUAUCUCUUAGUUAGUGGACUUAUUUUUUGAAUAAUUAGAUUAAAUUGUAAAGUCCAUGAAAAAAACUAUUUUAUUAUUAUAUACUCAUCCCCUAACAGUGCCUGGUCCAUAGGAAGUACAAGUACUCUAUAUCUUUUGAAACACUGAAUAUAUUUGUAAAUAUUAAGUUUUAGUUGAAAAGGAACUUUUAUUUAUCAAACACCUACUUUUAUCACAAACCUUAAAAAAUGUAAUUCUACUUAUGGCCACAUUUAUAAAAAAUAAUGUUUAUCCUCAUUUUAGAAAUGAGGGAACUCAAGCUCAAAAAUGAUGAGUAAAGUUUGCUAUCACAGAGAGUGAAAGACUAAUUAGAAAUUCAGCCUUAGGGCUGUGUGGCUCCAAAGUCCACAUUCUUUCCAUUACACUACACUGCUCUCUUGAGCUUAGUUUAGUUUUUUUUGUUUUUUGUUUUUUAAUUAUUCAAAGCAAUAAGAUCUUGCAAAUAGUGUCAGUAUUACAAGUGGCAUUUAUCCAUUGAUGGUACUUUGAAAUAUUGUGAUUGUUGAAAUUAUACGGCACUUGUCUUAAGGACUGGGGGUUUAGUGGGCUUCAUACACAAAACUGGAGCAGAAGCACCUGAACCAAACAUAAUUUGGGUUGCCAUCCUUGUAUUAUAUGACCUCGCUUCAGAACCUAUGUUGAUUAGAGCCAAAGUGGACAUCUGACCAAGGAAUUUAAUCCAAAGAACCCAGAGGGAAAUUGCAGUUGGUGGCAGAUGAGAAAGAAAUCACAGUUGAAUCGGAAAGAAGCAGACAUGAGGAGUGUCGCUAAUUUUUUGUCAAUUGUGGAACAUAAGUGCAAAGAUUCAUAAAAUACUGCUGCUGAAAUCUAGGACUGCCUUAUAUCCAGAGUAACGCACCAGGGGCAGCUUCACUGAGGCCAACUUGUUAACAGCUGGAUUAAAUCUAACAAAUACAGCCAUUGAAAUAUUAAGUCUCAUGGAACUCUUUGCUGAGCUUUUGUAGCAACGUUUGGUAAUAACAGUAUCACCAAGCACGUUCCCUGGGGAUAGCAACAGGUGUCCCUUCAAAGACAUGCUGACUCCACCUCACUUGCUUCUCACCUGGUUGAUCAGAGGAACCAGCUGUAAUACAGAAUGUCCUUCUUUUUGGUGACUGCUAACAUACUUCUUCACAGUGCAGUGUCUACAGAGGAGCUGCAGGCCCAUCCAUUCACUGAUAUUACCCUCUCCUGUCGUUUCUCCUUUGUGAAGGGCACCGAAAAUCUUGAGUUUUCUUGGGAAAGAGAAGACAUCAAAGAGGAAUAUGAGGUAGAGGAUGAUAAAGAAAAUUACCUCUUUUUCAAGUACUAUGAUUUUUUUUUAAGUUUUCUCAAAGUGGUUUACCAGUUUCACAAUAACACAGAGCAACUGGAAGAUCAAAACUCCUUGUAUGAGGGAAGAGUAUCUGUGGAUCAGGCUGAAAUUUCUGAGGGGACUCUAUCACUUUUCCUAAUAAAUGUGGAUUUCAUGGAUGAAGCUAUCUACAAGUGCUCAGCCAUCACACCAGAUGGAAGAGGUGAAAGUACGAUUAAGCUAAUGGUAGAAGCAGGGUAUCUGGAGUUCAGUGGAGAAACUGGAAUGAAUCCACUCAAAGAGGGGAAGUUUCCAAAAAAUAAAGACAGCAGUGAUAGAUAAGAACUGAAAGGCAGGAGCAUACAUGUGUCCUGUUCUUCUCUUACUAUGCUUGGAUCAAAAUUUUAACUACAGUGAACCUCAAGACUCUGAAAUGCCCCAGGUGCAGUUUGACAGGAUUGAUGAUGAGGAUGUAGCCACAUGCAUCUCAAAAGGACUAGUACCUCAUGCCCAUUGUGACAUGGCUGGACCGGGCAGGGAGGGACCUGAGCAACCACAGCAUCGUGGAAAUCCUGGAGGAGCAGAUGAAUGGCUUCUGCAGGGUGUUCCCCAUCCUGAAAUACCUUGUCAGGUUAAAUGAGAAAUAUGUCUUCACAUAACAGAGACAGAUGUAAACAACCAGCUCUUCAGAAUCAUCCACAAGUACCCAAGUCCAUCCAAACUUUCCCCCACUUACAACUGUAUACCACCUACAUCGUCCUUUAUUAUGAACAAGAGAAUGUGAAGCCCAGCGAGGGCCAUGUCGAAGCCAUGCUCUGGACAGCUGUUUUCCACUGGAAAUAACAGGGGGUGCUGAGAGUUGAGUGGAUGGGGAAGCAGAGGAGAAAAAGCUUUGGCAAAAGAGAAUUCCUGGAAGACAACACAUGUUGCGGGUGAAAAGGGCACUGGGCCAGGGGAAUGAAAAUCUGGGAGUCCUUCCCUAGUCUGCCAAUUACCAGCUGUGUGAUACAGAAAACUCACUUAGCCUCUUCGAGCCUCAAUUUCCUCAUCUAUAUAGUAAUUACAGUACAAUCUACUUCACAAAGGCUACUAUGAGAAUCUAAGGAAAGUAUGCGCAAAAAAGUUCUGUAACUAUAAAUCAUGAUAAAAUUUUAGUGAUCACUAAUAGAAAACCACAGAAGUCUUACAGGCACCUUCCAGUUAUCUAUCCCCUUUCAAAAAGAGUUGUGCCUUCUAUUUGCUAGUCCCAUAACAUGAACAUGUCUUACAGGAUGUUGAAAAACGAACUCAGUGGCUGUCCUGUUCAUGCAGUUCAAUCACUACUCAGGAAAAAUGGGAAAACACAGUCAACAUUCUGACCCAACCAGCUGCUUCAAUUGGCAAACACACACACACACACACACACAAAUGUAGUUUUGCAGCUUUUCUGAGCUGUGUUGAGGAGUGGCCAGUUCUGGGACACAAUUCUGAUGCACAGAAGAUCUUAUGAGCUUGGCAGGGAUUGUGGAACACAGUAUUUCUAUCAUGAAAAGAAUGUCCUCCCCGAGAUGCACACAGUAGAAAAAAUAGGCACUCACCUGGGCUGGCAGAUGGACUUACGGAUUUCUUCUCUGCAAGACAAAAAAAGAAAAUGUGUAAUGCAAAGUGAAGAAAAAAAGAAAAUUUUUCUGUAUUUCUAGGAUUACAGCUGCUCCACAUGUAGGGGACUAUUUGUAACCUUUUCAUCAUCUUGUAUUGAAUCCUUUCCUUCUUCUAGGGCCCAGGUAUGAGGAUCUUCUGUUUCCUGCUUUGUCUGACAAUUUAGGGCCACUGAGUUACCCUUCUGGUCUCACACCUCCUCCUGUUGCAUUGAGGGGUCACUGGGAUUUUGAGAAUUCAAAUGGAGAAUCAUUCUGGAUAGGGAAUGGAGUGGAGACAAUCGCCUGGGAAACAGCUUCUUGUUUCUUCAAGGAAGGGCAAGGCUGAGAGCGGCUGGGCAGGGCUAUGGCUUGGCAGGGGGCUGGUAUCUAAUUAGCAACAAGUGUGGGACUUCCUUCUUAUUCUAAUGGCAAUGGUUUCAGCGCAAAAUAGAGGAAAUAAUACUGAGAGGUGCCCAAAUUAAAAAGCAUGAGGAAAGUGAAACUUACGUGCUUUCUAAAAAGGUACAUAAUUCAUUUAAGGAACUUCAUUAUUGUUACUGAUUACUGAUGGAGUCCACCGUAUUUACUAUCCAGCUGUAGACAGUGCUGAAAACCCCAGCAGGCUCAUGAGUGACAAGAGGAUGCAACUCCAACCAACUGGGUGCUUUCCACAGCUCUGAGAGGCUGUGGUCACGGUAGAAAGACCAUGUGGUCAGCCAGGCCACACUGCUCUGUUCCUCAGCUCCCAUGGCUGAAGCUGCCUUGCAGUGGUGAGACCACACCUUACCUUUGCAGUGUCCAUCGUAAUCAACCUGGAUUUUGGAUCCAGUGAGGCAGGCAUCUCGAUGCAGUUCACAGUGGUUGAGGUAGGUCUUGCCGUUACUGCCACAUACAGGCCUCUUGUGAGGUUUGCAUUGCUGAAACAGACCCAAGAGAGAAUGUUUGUGCAGUUAUGGAUAUCGACACACAGACACACACACACAGAGCCAUUUUGUAAGGGGACUCUCCACCACCAGAGAUGGUGCUUCUAUCCUACCAGGGCACAGGCAGUGACAGUUCUGGCCAACUGACCCUGUCUCAGUUGCCUAUGGCCCUUAGUGCCUAUCCUGGUCCAGGGUCAUCUCUUCUAUUCAGUGAAGAAAGAGACACCCUCUAUGGUUUGAAUGUUUGUGAUCCCUCCAAAAUUCAUGCUGCUACUUAAUCCACAAUGCAAAACUAUUAAGAGGUGAGGCCUUUAGGGGGUGAUUAGGUCAUGAGGACUCCUCCCUUGUGGAUGAGGUUAAGAAGUGAAUAUAUCAGUCUUCCUACAGCAUUUGGCCCUUUGGUCCUUCUGCCUUCUGCCAUGUAAGGAUGCCACAUUCAAGGUGCCAUCUUGGAAGUUAGAGACCAGGCCCUCACCAGACAUCAAAUCUGCCUGCGCCUCAAUCUUGGACUUCUCAGCCUCUAGAACUGUGAGAAUUAAAUUCUUUUUAUUUAUUAUUUACCCAAUCUCAGAUAUUUUAUUAUAGCCACCGAAACAAAGACAACUGCCUCAUCACAUCAAAUUAGCAGAAAAGGCGUUCUAUUAAAAAUCAGAAAUUUGAAUUCUCUGUCACUUUGGAAAAAGUCAUUUAAUGUCUCAGAAGAUCUGAGAUCCCUUAAUAUUCCAACAUUCAAUGACAUAAAACAGCCAGAGCUGAGAGCUGGGAAUGUGGAGAGACUGAUAGGCAGGCAGGCAAACACACACACACUCCAAUUCUUCCACAGCCUAACUAUAAGGAUCUCUUGCUUUAUAUACUAUUUGGGGGGCCACUUUGUUUUCCUCCUAAUCUCAAGCCUUUAUUGUGAAGCUAGGAGUAAGGUUGUCUGGGUCUUUGUGAAGUACUACAGAGAAUCAUUAUGGAUAGGGAAAUGGAACAAAGUUCAUUUGGAAACUAGCUUAUGCUUUGGCUGCUGAAGGUACCAAGAUCACAGGCAAACUCAGUUUCUUUGGACUUCUACGGUUUUUAAGGGGGAGAAGUAGGAAGCAAGUUUAGCUCAGAUCCAAUAAAGAAAGGAAGUGAAACAAGAAAGAGCAGAUGGUAAAAAGAAGCACAGAGCACUGGAAGUGGAUGGCAGCCCAACCUCUCCGGUUUUAGUUGAGAAUACCAAAAAUACAAAUUUCAGUGAACCAGUAUUUAUUAUGGAGUGCUCACUAUGUGCUGGGAAAUGGACAAAACCAAACGUGGUCUCUGUCUUCACAGCAUCUCCUGAAACCUUAGGUUUGGUCCCAGCUCACCCACAUCUAGUUGUACAAUUUUUAGGAUAAGGUUUCCAGAUCAUAAGGCCAGGCUUAUGCCACCACACUGUGGCCAGGUACACUGCCAGUGAGAACCUCCCAGAGCUAACGGAUCCCCAGCAGGAUCUGGCUUUUAGGUUUCUGAGUUAGAAAACUUCCUUUCUGGGGCAACAAAUCAGGAUCCUUAACCUGGGGACUAAAUUGGUUGUAUUUAAUUUGCAGACAGACGUGUUUCCAGGCUAUGAGUUGGUUUGACAGAAAAGAGAAUGUCCAGGGUAUUUAUGUUCAUUUUGGUGGCAGAACUUGUCAGAAUCUAGCCUACAGAAGAAGUAUUUAUCAAAGGCUCUCUCUGGUUUUUAAACAUCAAAAAAAACCUGCAUCUCAUCUACUGUUUUUAAAAAUUUGCGUAUCCUCUGACCUAGCAAGCUCUGGUGUCAAUCAAUGCUACAGAAAUAAAGGCAGUAGCAUGUAAGGGUAUUUGCACAAGGAUGUUAUUGGUUAUAGUGGUAAACAACCCAUAGAACCAACUGAAUGUCCAUUUAUGGGAAAAUGAUAGAAUAAAUCCAGUUCUUUUGUAUUACUAUUAUGCCACUACAAUGAGUUAAAUGAGUUAAAACUACAUGUGCUGAUCUAGAGUGUUAUCCCUGAUAAUGAGUAAAGAAUAUAAACUGUAUAUAUCUAUAUCUGUAUCAUGAUCCCAUUUUUGCAUAAAAUAGGGGGAACCAUUAUGUCUACAGUACUAUAUAAACCCUAAUGCUUAUAGUAACAUAGAAAAGAAAAACAUGUGGAACAACAUGUACCAAAUUGUUAACACUGGUUACUUCAGACUAAGGGAUUGAAGGGUUAUGGGAGAAGAUUAUAAUUUUACAUCUGUGUAAAUGUCUGUACUAUUUGACUUAUAUAAAACAAUUCUUAUUUUUUAAUUAAAAAAAUCUUAUAAAGCUAAAUUAAAAAAAAAGAAAAAAUAUCCAUGCAUUAAAAAUCAGGAACCUGGAAUAAAAAUUCCAUGUUUCUCAGAGGCAUGAGGUAUGCUUUUAUAAAGAGACUGAAAUCAUUGGCACUGCCUGCUAAUGGGUGGCUCCGCAAGGUAGCCACACUGGCCUUGGCCACUGUCCUCUGGCUCCUGACAUUAGGACUUACCUCAAUGCAGAGACAGGUGGGUUCCCCUUUCUCUGUGACUGCACAUUCCCGGCCAGCUCCACAAAACACAUUGGCACAGAUCUUGGAUUUGCUCCUUAGCUCUUCCUAAAACACACAAUCAUAAAGGAAACCAUGUGACUGAGAUGAACCCACUAAGGGAUAAGCCCAUAAUGAGAUUAUCUUUCAGGCUUGGGCUUUGCUCUGGAAUCAUGGCUCAUGGUCUUAAACAGCUAGAUGUUGGGUCUUAAACAGCUAGACGUUGCCUCCAACAGCGAGUGCCCUACUCCCAGACACUGCUUCAGCCCAGGUUCAGGUACUUCUGAGUCCCUAAUAUGUUUCUCAAAGAGCAAGAGUUCCUUUCUUGCAUGCUUCCUUUCUCAUAAAAAUGCUUAUUAAGCACCUAUCUUAUGCCAACACUACACUAAGGGAUGGAGAUACAAAGGACAGACCCUGUCCUCAGGAAGCUCCAUGACUCUCAGAGGAAACUCACAAAGAAAGAGACAUUUGGAAAACAACACAGGAAGUGCAAGAACAGGAUCACCAGGGAGCUGGAAGGGAGGGGGAGGGGGAGGGGGAGAAUUUUUCAGAGGAUACUUUCUGAAGAUACUAGGCCUUAACUGAUUCUUAAAGGAUGAGAGGAGUAAGUCAGGCAGAAAUGGAAACAUUGUGGAGAACUAUGACUAUCUGAAGGACCCAAACCUGACUGAAUGGUGUUCAAGGCAUUAUCAUCUCAAAGGGCAAAAAGAAGGAUGGCUAAACCAGUGGAAACGUGGAUUUGCUAUAUUUGCUAUGGUCCCAUUUAGCCUCUGCCCAUGUCUGCCACUGGCUUCAAGAUUAAGAGGGCUAAACUGCCUGAUAGCAGAACUAUUCUCAAAUCAUUUGCUAGUCAGGCAUUUCCCUGUUCAGACAUGUGCAGCAGAAGUGACAAGGUAGGGAAUGGUCUCGGUGUAUGCACCUGAGAAUGUGGGGGUAUUGACAGGCACUGAUCUGUUGGUGGCUCAUCCCUUCCCUCCCAUUCACUGGUGGCAGAAAGCCAGCCCCACCUCAUUCACCACUCAACCCAGGGGUAGUGGUGGUUACAUGAAGGAGAAUGUGAUUUCCCCAGCUUCUCAUCCUGACUGGCUGGGCAGGCAAAAUCAUGAAAGACCUCCAGGCCCAAGGCUACUGGGCUAGCAUUGGCUGUGACAAAACCAACAAAGACUGCAGGAGGCACAAUGGGGUCAUCGGGCUGGCUGUGGUGAGGCAGGGAUGGAACCCAACAGUCCACCCUCCAGGCCAUGUCUACUACAUUAUGCAGAGAACUCACACCCACAAGUCUUGUAACAGUACAAUUCUUAUAGUUGGUGAAUGUUUUAUAUCCAAGAUUAGGGCAAAAAAGGCAAAAAGAAAGUACAGGCUUUCGAGCUGAGGUGCUGUAUCCAAUACAGCUAGUCUGCUGCCACCCAGAGGCUGCUCUGCAAACUCCAGGUUAUUAUUUUCUGUCCCAAGCCUGCUUGUGGGUCAUGCGGGGCUCCCAUUGGUCUAGAAGCCGUUCUCAUGCUCACAUUUCAUUGGUUCACAUGCUGUGGAUAAACCAAUUCUUUUUUGAAUGUUGCUAAGGCGAAUUCAAGAAAGCUAGCAGGCGGGGAAGAAAGAGGAAGUAAUUCCCAGAAGUCUGCGGGGAUUGGAGAGCUGUUGUUUUCCUAAACAGAGAGUGGAGAUAAAAAUCAAGGAUAUUCUCCGGGCAGGGCCAUCUUGUGGAAACUGCCUGAGAAUGUAAGGCAACACGAAAAAGGAAGAGGAAAAGGUUUUUGCUGACGAGUUGUAAAAAACCUCAGAUAUGUUUACCUUCUCCUCUCCCCAAAAACGACACUCUAGCCAAGGGAUACAGACAAAUAUGCACCCCCCCUGUGGGUGUGUCCCAUGAGUUAUGGACACACAAAUGCAUAAAAAAGCAUGCUCAGACACAUGCCUGCACUCAAAUACACCCGCACACAGCUCCACAGGCAAACACCCACAAACCUCCACUCACUAGUCUCUGUCCUUAACUAGUAAUUUUCAUUCUUUAAGCCUCACAUGUCGUCAUCUAUAAAGUAGGGGUAAAUGCCAGCCCUGCCCUGUGGACAUUCAGUGAGAUACAUUUGGAAGUACCAACUGUAAAUCAAGCUGCCUAUGAAACCUGUUAUUCAUGGGAAUGCCUUAUAGAGCUGUUGCAGAAAAGCCUGUGGCAUGUAUGGAACCUCCUUUUAACUUAUAUUGGUGUUUUUAGUAAGUAUCAAAAAUAGAUUGAAUUCAAUCAAGUCAUUUUUCAGGAAUAGUUCUCAACAAUCCAUUUGAAGAAACAUAACUUUUGAGUUAUAACAACUAAUAUUUGAAGAGUACAAUUAAGAUUUACAAAAUGUUUUCAUACACAUGAUUUCAUCUUACAGGGAAACCCUGCAAGAACAGGUAUAUUAUUAUUAACCCUAUUCCAUAGAUGAGGAAAUUGAAGACCAGAAAGGUCGGAUAACUUGCCCAAGGUUCCAAAGCUAGAAAUGAGAGGAGCUAGGAUUCCAACUCAUAUCUUCAACCACUGAUAACUAAACUCCCAUUUAUAAAUACCCGGCAUCCUACUAAGUUAUUUUUAUAUGUGAUUUAAGCUCCUCAAUAACUCGCUAAGUUAGACAUCACUAGCCCCAUUUCACAGGUGAGAGGGCUGAGCCUUAAAUAACUAGAAAGUGGCAGAGCUAGAAUUCUGCCCAAUCUAAGGGAAAGUAGUUUAUAUUUGAUUUAUUUUCAUAUCCAGAUGACAUAAGGAAAUUAUGACGGGGGUGUGAGUUGCAUAAUUAGCAAGUGUUGGGAGAAUGUGCGUUAAGAGUGCGUCAGAGAUUUAGAUUUAAAUUACCCACAUCCCACCUCUAUUCCUUACUUGCUGGUCGUGGGCCAGGUGCUCUCUUUAAACCUCAGCUUCCUCAAGUGAAAACUGGGAGUACUGAUUCUUAGAGGGUCGUUGUGAGGAUUAAAUGGGAUGUACUGCAGGCAGCACAGUGCCUGCCACACAACUGAAAGUGGCUAUUACUACAAUGGGCAAUUUAUUUUCAGACAACUUUCCCACUGAGAUGCUGUCACUACCACCUUGGGCUGUCAUGUCCCGUUUUUCCCUGUCCUCCCUUGCACUGCAGUGGUAAUAAAGAACAGAAGGACUGACUGAAGAGAAAAAACAAAAGGCCCGUUUGAAGAGCACACAGGCAAGAGGGGAGCCACUAGUUACACAAUCAUGCCUCUUUGCAGGUGAUACGUCUGUCAAUAGGUGGCAAUCUCUCUCUUUGUCUUGCACAGCCCAGUGCCGCAAUGCAGAAGCGCAGUGUUGGCUCCUGCAGCUCCACCCAGCUCUGUCCUUGGAGCCAGAAGUGGUGCAGGAGGUAGAAGAAUAGGGUGGCUGCCCCACAAAUACGGGUAGGGUGAUCUACCAACGUGGGAGAGGUCUCACCGGCAGCCUCAUAGCCCUCCCCAGUGAUCCCCAUUCACAGGCAUGCUUUAAUGCAGAAAUGAACAAUGAAGAAAAUUUUCUCCAGAGAGAUAGCUUUUGUGCCAUUGAAAACCCUUCUCCAAGCCUCAUCUUCUCUGGGAGUGGGAGUGUCAGGUGCAUCCCUGAGGUGCCUACAAAGUUGCUUAGGGUGGUGGGUGGUCUUACCCAUCUGCUGAGAGACUGAUUCGGAGCGGGGGAAAAGAACACCUUGAGAGGGGUUGAACAUUCUCAUGGGUUGGAGUAAUAGCUGCCUGGUGGGGAGGGCUGUGGUGAGGAAUAGGGAGAUGAACAGGGUGGCAGGUGAUGGUGGGGAAAGGGGUGGUGCUCGAUGGCUGACCCGGGGGGCUCUCCACAGCAACUAUGAGCAGUGAGAACCUUGGAAGGUUUGGGAUUGGGUAGGUAACAUGAUGGAUAUGGUGAUUUGGAAUGUUAAUUUGUGUCGGGUCCUUUCUGAAAUUCUGAUUCAAAGUGCGGGGCAGCCUGGAUGGAGAGAGGCUGCAAGCAGGAAAACCGGCCAGGUUUAAGACUGUAAAUCUAGUCGGGGAUGACAAGGGCCUAGGACCGAAGGCCAGUGUUAAUUUUAGGACCUUCAGCUGAGUGAGGCUCUGCAGAUAUCUCUGUCCUCACAACCUCUGUGCAGGUCUCUGUAUUUUUAGUCCCAUGUAACAGAUGCAGAGGCAUUGGAGAGUCAGAAAAGCUCUGUGAUGCAUGGAGGCCACAUAACUAGUGAGAGCUGAGUCAGGAACAGAACAAAGGCCAGCCGGAUUCCAGAGCCUCAAGGUUCCCUCUUGGGGUACAAUCAAGGCAGUGAGCUUUGGGGAGGGGGGACAGUUCCAAGGGCUGACACAGGGUGAGGUCACAAGGUACAAUGCAGUUCUUGUAAAUAGAACUGUUUGCUCUACCACUGUAAUGAUUUUAGGAAUGAUGUCCCAAAUCAGUAUGAGGAUUUCGUGUAUGCACAGAUGACCACAUUGGCACAUGGAUGUUCUCUAGGAGUAUGAGGUUGUGGGCAGGUCCAAUAUUACAAAAGUAUUAACCUACAAGUCUAGAUGUACCUGUGAGAAUGUAAUUGAUUUGAGUGGGGGUAGAGGGUGUGUUCUGGAAGUGUGGACACUCAGACAUAUUGAUAAAAAUCAACAAAAUAUCUGCCUGCAAUGGAGAAACAUCAGAUUUCUAGCUUUAUCCUUCUGCAUCGUCUUCCUGACUAGUCUCCAUGUUGUUUUCAUUUCAUGUGUUGCAAGCCAAGCUCUGGCGAUUUGGUCUCAUUAAUUUUCACAUUGCAAACUCCCUUUGGUAGAACACAGACUGGGAACAUUCCCGACUUUUUACUAGGUAGAAAGUAUCUGAGCAACCAUUGAAAUGGCAAUAAUGAUACUUCAUACUUGCACAGCAAUUUUGGUUAAUCUGUAAUUUUUACAGAUAGGCAGGCAGGGGUUACCUGUGAGGCCCUUCCAGAUUUAAGAUCCUAUGGUGAAAAUAAAACUGAGGCUCACAGCUACAUGUGACUGGUCCAAGAUCUCACAGUUGUAGAGCUGGGGCCUGGCCCUAGGUCUCCAGACUUUAAUCCAAGCCUCUUUCCACUAAACCACUCUACCUCUUUACAAAUCAAAGCUAGGAAAGGUGUUGUCUUGAAUCCAAGGUCUUAAAAAAUGGAAUUAUUUUUGCAAUCAAAAAAGAUCCUUUGCAAGCAAAUGGAGAAAGAAGUUAUUUACAAAACCACCAGUAGAGGUGAUCGUGUAUCUGAGUCUCUGGGCCAACCAGAAUUAAGUCUGAACAUAAAACACACAUUGAAUGUUUAAAAAGAAGUCUUCUGAAGUAAAACAAUUUCUGGAAGAACAGUGUGCUUUGGCAGGGGAGGAAGCUUAUAAGCAAAGCCAUAAAACUGUCAGCUUAAUAUACCAUCAUUUCACUAACCUGAAGUGGGUCGGCUCUGUCCCCUCCAUACUUUUCCUCUUUCCAACUCUUUUAAAAAAGAACAGCUCUACUUAUGCCAAGGUGGAAUUUUGGCUCCACUUGCCACUAUUCUGUGACAGAGUGGCUUUGUUGACGUGAGAAAAGCUCUCUUUGCUUUGCCAGAAUUAGUCAUGGAAACUUCACAGGAACAUCAGGGCCCCUCAGAUAUACACAGAGUACCAUGGAGCUGGGGACAAAGGAAUUCGCAGAACUGGGAAGAGCAGGGGGAGGUCUGCAGUGGGGCAUAUGGGGUGAGAUGCUGGUUGCUCCCAGGCAGCUCUUCUGGAACCCAGUAGCACAGGCCUGAGAAAAGCAGAGGGAAAGAGCGAAAUUGCUUCAGGACCUUGAAAUCUUGCUGGAGUAUCUCAUGACCUUGCUCAAGUCUCUCUGAUUAUUUUUUCUGGAAAGUAAUGUGUUGGUACAUCCUGCAUAUGCUAUGGACAGACAAGAGGGACUGGUGAUUUCUAGCAGUGGUUCUGAUGUGUGUGGGAGGGGGCACUGCAUGUGUGCAGUCCCUGCUAUAAGUGUCCCUUCCUUAUAUGUGUUCACAAUCAGUCCCCCAUCUCAAGGUUAACGCACCAGGGCCAGACCCAGGUUUUGUGGGGCCUGAAGCUUAAAUGGUUUUGGGAGGGCUCUAUAAGAAAAAGAAUAUGCAAUUAUAAAUGCAAAUUGGGUACAUGGCCUGGCAAGGCCCUUGCAAAUAAAAGGUCUGAAAUCAAAGCUUAAUUAGCUUCAUGGUAAUCCAAGUCUCCAUUUGCCCUAUUAUUUCUUCAUAAACAAGAUCUUUCCAAUAAUGGCUUUUAGGUCCUUAGUCUAUUAGAGACAGUCCUAGUCAAUAUUUGAUGCACAUAUGGCUUAUCUCAAGUAGACUGUAAGAGCCUUGCACACUUCAGCUUCCCACGGACCCACCAGUGUCCUGCCUGAGAAAAUGCUCAACAAAUGGUUUGUAUAUUAAAUGUCAUUUGGGGGUACAAAGUUUCAGUUAUGCAAGAUGAGUAAUUUUUGGAGAUGUAAUGUACAGCAUGGCAAUGGUAGUUAAUAAUACUGUUUGUAUACUUUUAAUUUGAUAAGAGGAUAGAUCAUAAAUUAAAUCUUCUCAACAUGCACACACACAAAAUGGUAACUAUGUAGAGGUAGUGAAUAUGUUAAUUAGAUUAUGGUGAACAUUUCACCAUGUAUACGAAUAUUAAAACAUUAAAACAUUUGUACACCUUAAAUAUAUGCAAUUUUUAUAUGUCAGUGAUAUCUCAAUAAAGCUGCUUAAAAAUAAAGAAAAAUUAUUUUAAAAUGUCAUUUGCAGUCUCUUCAGGUUAGUGCAGCAGCCAACAGUGGCACUUAGGAUAUUUUUGGGUCAGUACGGCUGGACUCCAUGACAUCCAAAUAAGAGAUGUAUUGCCCAAUGAAGAUUAGCUUUAAGAUUUUAAAAAAUCUACUAUGAA